rnacentral:rRNA from 1 species
AGUGAACGCUGGCGGUAGGCCUAACACAUGCAAGUCGAACGGCAGCACAGUAAGAGCUUGCUCUUACGGGUGGCGAGUGGCGGACGGGUGAGGAAUACAUCGGAAUCUCCUUUUUCGUGGGGGAUAACGUAGGGGAACUUACGCUAAUACCGCAUACGACCUCCGGUUGCAAUCAGGAGAGCUUCGGACCUUGCGCGAUUGAAUGAGCCGAUGUCGGAUUAGCUAGUUGGCGGGGUAAAGGCCCACCAAGGCGACGAUCCGUAGCCGGUCUGAGAGGAUGAUCAGCCACACUGGAACUGAGACACGGUCCAGACUCCUACGGGAGGCAGCAGUGGGGAAUAUUGGACAAUGGGCGCAAGCCUGAUCCAGCCAUACCGCGUGGGUGAAGAAGGCCUUCGGGUUGUAAAGCCCUUUUGUUGGGAAAGAAAAGCAGCAGGUUAAUACCCCGCUGUUCUGACGGUACCCAAAGAAUAAGCACCGGCUAACUUCGUG